rnacentral:rRNA from 1 species
CUUAGAGUAAUGUCUAAGUAUCAUUAAGUGAAUACAUAGCUUAAUGAGGGGAACUCAGGGAACUGAAACAUCUAAGUACCUGAAGGAAGAGAAAGAAAUUCGAUUCCGUAAGUAGCGGCGAGCGAACGCGGAUUAGCCCAAACCAAUAAAGUUUUCUUUAUUGGGGUUGCGGACAUAUCAUAACGAAGAGGUAUCGUAAUUGAAGAGGUUUGGAAAGACCCACCACAGAAGGUAAUAGUCCUGUAUGUUAAACGAGAAGACUUCAGAUAUGAUCCAGAGUACCACGGGACACGUGAAACCCUGUGGGAAGCAGGAGGGACCACCCUCCAAGGCUAAAUACUACCUAGUGACCGAUAGCGUAUAGUACCGUGAGGGAAAGGUGAAAAGAACCCCGGGAGGGGAGUGAAAUAGAACCUGAAACCCUGCACUUACAAGCUGUGGAAGCACAUUUCUUGUGUGACCGCGUACUUUUUGUAGAACGGGCCAACGAGUUACGUUAAGUAGCAAGGUUAAGCACUUAAGGUGCGGAGCCGUAGCGAAAGCGAGUUUUAACUGAGCGUUCAGUUACUUGACGUAGACCCGAAACCGGGCGACCUACCCAUGAGCAGGAUGAAGCGAAAGUAAAAUUUCGUGGAGGUCCGAACCCACGAGCGUUGAAAAGCUCGGGGAUGACUUGUGGGUAGCGGUGAAAUUCCAAUCGAGCCCGGAGAUAGCUGGUUCUCCCCGAAAUAGCUUUAGGGCUAGCCUCAAGGUGAGAGAUACGGAGGUAGAGCACUGAAUGUCCUAGGGGGUAUUGCACCUACCGAAGACUAUCAAACUCCGAAUGCCGUCAUCUUAUACUUGGGAGUCAGACUGUGGGUGAUAAGAUUCAUAGUCGAAAGGGCAACAGCCCAGAUCGUCAGCUAAGGUCCCUAAAUGUAAGUUAAGUGGUAAAGGAUGUGGGAUUGCACAGACAACCAGGAUGUUGGCUUAGAAGCAGCCACUCAUUCAAAGAGUGCGUAAUAGCUCACUGGUCGAGUGAUCCUGCGCCGAAGAUUUCCGGGGCUAAAACUUACUACCGAAGCUACGGCAUCAGUAAUGAUGGGUAGGGGAGCUUCCCAUACGGGUUGAAGCAUGACCGUAAGGACAUGUGGACAGUAUGGGAGUGAGAAUGUUGGCAUGAGUAGCGAGAUGUGGGUGAGAAUCCCACAGGCCGUAAACCCAAGGUUUCCAGGGGAAGGUUCGUCCGCCCUGGGUUAGUCGGGACCUAAGCUGAGGCCGAAAGGCGUAGGUGAUGGACAACAGGUUGAUAUUCCUGUACUACCGAUAACCGUUUGAGAGAAGGGAUGACACAGUAGGAUAAGCUAAGCACACUGUUGGUUAUGUGUGCCCAAGCAUUGAGGCAGUCAAAGUAGGCAAAUCCGCUUUGAUAAUGCUGGGAUGUGAUGGGGAGCGAAAUUUAGUAGCGAAGUAGCUGAUUUCACACUGUCAAGAAAAGUCUCUAUCGAGGUUAAAGGUACCCGUACCGCAAACCGACACAGGUGGGUGAGGAGAGUAUCCUAAGGCCAGCGAGAGAACUGUUGUUAAGGAACUCGGCAAAAUGACCCCGUAACUUAGGGAUAAGGGGUGCCACCAUCAGGUGGCCGCAGAGAAUAGGCCCAAGCGACUGUUUACCAAAAACAUAGGUUUCUGCUAAGUCGCAAGACGAUGUAUAGGAGCUGACGCCUGCCCGGUGCUGGAAGGUUAAGGGGAUCUGUUAGAGCAAUCGAAGCAGUGAACUUAAGCCCCAGUAAACGGCGGCCGUAACUAUAACGGUCCUAAGGUAGCGAAAUUCCUUGUCGGGUAAGUUCCGACCCGCACGAAAGGCGUAACGAUUUGGGCACUGUCUCAACAACAGACUCGGUGAAAUUGUAAUUCCGGUGAAGAUGCCGGAUACCUGCGACAGGACGGAAAGACCCCAUGGAGCUUUACUGUAGCUUGACAUUGGGUCUUGGUACUACAUGUACAGGAUAGGUGGGAGGCUUUGAAACCAGGACGCCAGUUUUGGCGGAGCCAUCCUUGGGAUACCACCCUUGUAGUACUGGGACUCUAACCAUAGGCCAUGAAUCUGGUCUUGGGACACUGUCAGGUGGGCAGUUUGACUGGGGCGGUCGCCUCCCAAAAGGUAACGGAGGCGCUCAAAGGUUCUCUCAGUACGGUCGGAAAUCGUACGUAGAGUGUAAAGGCAAAAGAGAGCUUGAUUGCAAGACAUACAGGUCGAGCAAGGAUGAAAAUCGGACUUAGUGAUCCGGUGGUUCUGCGUGGAAGGGCCAUCGCUCAACGGAUAAAAGCUACCCUGGGGAUAACAGGCUUAUCUCCCCCAAGAGUCCACAUCGACGGGGAGGUUUGGCACCUCGAUGUCGGCUCAUCACAUCCUGGGGCUGUAGUAGGUCCCAAGGGUUGGGCUGUUCGCCCAUUAAAGUGGUACGCGAGCUGGGUUCAGAACGUCGUGAGACAGUUCGGUCCCUAUCCGUCGCAGGCGUAGGAAAUUUGAGAAGACCUGUCCUUAGUACGAGAGGACCGGGAUGGACGUACCUCUGGUGUACCAGUUGUUCUGCCAAGGGCAUGGCUGGGUAGCUAUGUACGGAAUGGAUAAGCGCUGAAAGCAUCUAAGCGCGAAGCCAACUUCAAGAUAAGAUUUCCCACCGCAAGGGUAAGACCCCAGAAAGACUAUCUGGUUGAUAGGUCGAAGGUGUAAGUGCAGCAAUGUAUUUAGCUUAUCGAUACUAAUAGGUCGAGGACUUGACCA